rnacentral:lncRNA from 1 species
AUAGGUCACAGAUAAAGAAUACCCAUUUAGAAGGGGGACUUGGCAUGUGAACUCUAUCAAAAUGGAGACUGGACCCAAGCCUUUGAUCCAAACUUUUUACACCAUAUUUUAUUAUUAGUUCAAAACUUUACAGAAACAAGUUGAAUUUCCAUGAGGUUCCUACGAAUAAAUGUUGUAGAUUUUAAAACUGGGCCACAAAAUAAGGGCAGGGUCAGGGGGAUAAAACAAACAAAAACAACAACAACAACAACAACAAAACAGAGAGAAAGGAAAAAAGGGAGAGGGAAAUUCAUCAAAAUAGAAGAAGGAUCAGUAAUGUAGAUGAAGAGGAUUGAGGAGAAUGAAGAGGGAGUAGAAAAGGAAAAGUACAGUGAAAUUAAUCUGACUCAACUUUCCUAUGGGCAUGCAUGGAAUGGCAAGGUGGUCCCCUGGCACUGGGUGUAUCCACAGGGACACUAAAAAAAAUAAAAAUAAAAAUAAAAAUAAAAAAAAAACUUAAAUGUAAAUGGAUUGAGGAGAGAUUGGUGGAGUAAAGUGGGGUGGUAAGAGGGAAGUGCUGGAGAUUUAAAUGGAGUGGGUUGAGUUACAUACCUUUGUGAAAAUGUCAGAGAGUAUCUUGAUGAUGUACAGAACUAAAAAGAACAAAUAAAAUAAACUGGGCCAUAUUUUCACAAGACAGGACCCAUCAGUUCUCUCUGACUGGCAGUUUCAACAUCUGGUGGAAGUUUGGGUAGAUGCUGAAUAAAAGUUGCUGGGGUAUGGCAUAUCAUGAUUCAAAAAUAAUUGUAAAUACCCAUAUGAAAAUAUGAAGGGCAGAUAAUCUCGGUCACGUUACCAAUGUCGGUGUUUCUAUCCACUUCAAGACACAGAUUCAGGGUAUUUAUUUUUGUGAGUUAGUGUAGUGUGCUUUUGUGUUUCAAGGAUAGGCAACUCCAGAAUUUCCAACUCUUUAUGUGCAAAUAGCAAGCGCUUCAUCACAGGACUGAUCCCUGAGCAUUAUCAAAGGAUAUUUGUCUUUUGGAAAGAUUAUGGACAGUUCUCCUGCCCCACUCUGAUUUGAAUGCCAAUAAUAUAGAUGCUGUUCCACUGUACAAGAUCCAGGAUUACAGCUUGGUUAGUGAUAAAAAAAAAAAUCAUCACUCAAUAUCUGAGUAAACCCACGUUUUUCAACCACAAGGGGAAUAUUUGAAAAAAAAAUCAUAGUCUGCUCAUUAUGUGUACUACAUAUUUCCAUUGCUUCUGUGUCUGAAAAAUACAUUGCAUGUCUUUUGGGGAUGAUAUUGUAGAAGAGAAGAUAGGAUAUAAUUCAUGACAGAUAGUAAAAGAACAGAAAACAAUCAGUUUAAAGUUGAUAGCACCAUAGAAACAUGAAGAAAAAGCUGAGGAUC